UCACUAAGAGCUUUAAUGUUCUUAUUUGCAAAGUUUUGAUUUUAUUUUUAUUCGUAGUAAAAGUUAGUCCAUAGCUACUCAAUCCGUAACUAAUUGUUGCCUCGACCAAAGAGUGAUACAGGGUGUACAAAAUAUUUUUACUCACCGAUGACUUUAAGUGAUAAAUUUUACCAAAUACUGUGCGGAGUUUCGAACAUACUGAGUUAACAUGUGCACUCCAUGAGAAAUUUUUAUCAACAAUGAGCCCUAGAUAUUUAUACGACGUUACCUGUUCCAACUAACUACAUUGACAUAUUUGUGAGGAACUAUGCAAGCAAGACUGGCGCGUGCGUGGAGAGUUUGUCUCGCAGCAGCGGGAAGAAGCUGCGAGCGGUAGCGUUGUGUGGCUCGUACUGCAGGAUCAGGCGGCAGUAUUUGAGGGCUUCUGCGUACUGGCGCCGCAUGAUCGCCGACAGGAACUGCAACAUACUCAGACAUAUUGAGAAUUGAUGAUCGCGAACCUACUUCAGCCAGGAACUCGCUGGGCGCAGAGGAUCCCUCGUGCCCGUCGGAACACUCCGGGCUGGGCGAAGCCGAGGGUGCGGCGAAAGUGGCCUGGGCAUCCAUACUACGGCGGGGGGCGCGAGCCACCAGCUCCAGCGACGAGGUGUCGCGCGCUCGGAAGUGCUCGCUGGUGGGCAGGUAGCGCUCCGUU